GGCGAAGUGGCAGAGGGGCUCAUGCUACGGUUUGCAACGCCGUCAACGUUGGUUCGAAUCCAACCUUCGCCU
rnacentral:tRNA from 1 species